GAAGAAACUGGGGAUUUUUUUUAUACCUUUAUUUUACUAGGCAAGUCAGUUAAGAACAAAUUCUUAUUUUCAAUGACAGCCUAGGAACAGUGGGUUAACUGCCUGUUCAGGGGCAGAACGACAGAUUUUGUACCUUGUCAGCUCAGGGAUUUGAACUUGCAACCUUUUGGUUACUAGUCCAAUGCUCUAACCACUAGGCUACACUGCCGCCCCAGUGAUAUCAUAGUACACGGUGUAACCUUCAUAUCUGAGCCUGGCUUCGUGCCAUGGAUCAUCACUGCAGGCUUCGUGCCAUGGAUCAUCACUGCAGGCUUCGUGCCAUGGAUCAUCACUGCAGGCUUCGUGCCAUGGAUCAUCACUGCAGGCUUCGUACCAUGGGUCAACACUGCAGGCUUCGUGCCAUGGGUCAUCACUGGAGGCUUUGUGCGUGGAGCAGGCACAGGACAUACGAGGCUGGAGACACGCACUGGAGGCCGGGUGCAUGGAGCUGGCACAGGAUAUACUGGGCCGUGAAGGCGCACUGGAUGUCUAGAGCGUAGAGCUGGCACAACCCAUCCUGGCUGGAUGCUCACUUUUGCACGGCAAGUGCGAGGAGCUGGCACGGAGCGCACAGGGCUGUGAAUGUGCACUGGAGACACAGUGCGUAUCAACGCAUAACAUGGUGCCUGAACGGUCACACACUCCUGAAAGCGAGUGCGGGGAGUUGGCUCUGGUCUGAAACCUGGCUCCGCCAACUAACCUGUGUGCCCCCCCAAAAAAUGUUUUGGGGCUGCCUCUCGUGCUUGCGUCGUGGUUGCGACCCCCAGAGUCGUCGUUGAUGCUCCUUCGCUGCUUCCGCCUGCUUCCCCGGUAGGCUUUCGUAUCUCUCCAAUACUUCCUCCCAAGUCCAGGCUAUUCUCUCCUCAACCUCCUCUGUAGACCAGGAUGCCAUCUCCUCCCAGGCACGCUGCUUGGUCCAGUUGAGGUGGGAUCUUCUGUCACGUUCGUCGAUGGAAGGAGUAGACAAAGGUGCAGCGUGGUAGGCGUACAUUUUUCUUUUAUUGAUGACACCGAAAAAAAAAUACACCAUGAAACGCACAGUUCUGUAGGGCUGGAAAGCAACAGUACAAAAACAAGAUCCCACAAUCUAAUGUAGGAAAAGGGGCUGCUUAAGUAUGAUCCCCAAUCAGAGACAAAGAUACACAGCUGCCUCUGAUUGGGAACCAUACUAGGCCAACAAAAAAUAGAAACAUAGAUUUGCCCACCCAAGUCACACCCUGACCAAACCAAAUAGAGAAUAAAAAAGUCUCUCUAAGGUCAGGGCGUGACCGGUAGUGUAUAUACCCUAUUCCAUUCUGCCUCAUUUUAGUUUAUGCCACACCAACAUUGCUCAUCCUAAUAUUUAUAUAUUCCUUAAUUAAGUUUUACUUUUAGGUUGUGUAUUUUGUGAAUUGUUAGAUAUUACUGCACUGAUGGAGCUAGAAACACAAACAUUUCGCUACACCCACAAUAACAUCGGCUAAACGUGUAUGUGACAAAUAAAAUGUGAUUUCAUUUAAUUUAAAUGUUAAUCAAAUGUAUUUUGUGUGUUAAGAAUUGUCACGUUAAAAUACCUUACACAUUUAGUAAUGACAAAUGCAUUUGAUACUAAGCAUAGUAAAACAUUUAUUGAUAAGAGUGGGGGGAAAAGGUGCCGUGCAUUUAUAAGCACACCAAAGGCGGCAUUAACGAUAAGUAGGAAAAUAAAGACAACACUUCUUAAAACCCAUUUCACACCAUAACCUGUUGAAUUUGAAAGAUACAUUUUGUUUCAUUUUGAUUUCAGCACAAAUGAAAAUGUGGCACAUGGGAUUGAUGUUUCAGUGUUGUCUCAAUGAAGAGUUCGCCGUUCGCCAAGCCACAUGCGACAUGCACGUGCAGUUACAAGCCUGCCAGAGUUUGCGGCAGGCAGAGGAGCAAUAUCCACCAUCGUACUACGGAUAAACUCUGAACUGGAAUGGGAAACUAACUGAAGCUUGCUAGCUUUAGAAAACCUUGAGUAGAUCUAGCUUGCUUCGUAGUAUACCCCUUUGGUCAAAUAGUUUCUUAGCCAACCCAGCUCAUUUAACAAUGAAGUACCUUACUGUGAUUGUUUUCAAUUAGAAUGGUCAAAAAUAAACAAAAAUAGCUUCUUAGCAAAAAGCAAUUUCUCAAGCAAGAAUUCUGCUACGACUGUCUGGGAGUGGUCUGAGUGGGGAGGGGAAAACUGAACAUUAGCUGUUAUUGGCAAAAGGUUGGGAACUCUCUUUCUUAUUGGUCUAUUAACCCCCAGGUUUGUUAAACAUACUUCCAUGGUUGGUUUCAUUGACUCUUCCCUUUAACUGCCCCUUAUUGACCCAUUUUUUAGCUACAACUUCCAAUUAUGUUGGAGAGGAUCAGCUUGAGCAAAGUGAAGUGUAGAAUCACUGAUCUACAAAUAGUAUUCCCUGCCAAAAUAAUAUGCUUUGUGCAAUUAAGAAACCUAGAGGUAUGCCUCCCCUGGCUUAGGCAAUACACCCACCGACUGUCACGUCUUGGGGCCCUCAGAUCCUCAAAUGGUAUACAGCUGAACCAUUGAGAGUAUCUUGACUGGCUGCAUUCCUGCUUGUUAUGGCAACUGCUUGGCAUCCGACUGUAAGGCUCUACAGAGUGUAGAGUGUAUGGCCCAGUACAUCACUGGGGCCGAGCUCCCUGUCAUCCAGGACCUCUAGAUCUUUGUGGGCUACACUCGGCCUUGUCUCAGGGUAAUAAGUUGGUGGUUUGAAGAUAUCCCUCUAGUGGUGUGAGGGCUGUGCUUUGGCAAAGUGGGUGGGGUUAUAUCCUGCCUGGUUGGCCCUGUCCGGGUGUAUCGUCGGACAGGGCCACAGUGUCUCCCGAACCCCUCCUGUCUCAGCCUCCAGUAAUUAGGCUGCAAUAGUUUAUGUGUCGGGGGGCUACGGUCAGUCUGUUAUAUCUGGAGUAUUUCUCCUGUCUUAUCCGGUGUCCUGUGUGAAUUUAAGUAUGCUCCCUCUAACUCUUUCUCUCUCUCUUCUCUCUGAGAACCUGAGCCCUAGGACCAUGCCUCAGCCUCAACCAUACCUGGCCUGAUGACUCCUUGCUGUCCCCAGUCCACCUGGUUAUGCUACUGCUCCAGUUUCAACUGUUCUGCCUGUGGCUAUGGAAUCCUGACCUGUUCACCGGACGUGCUACCUUGUCCCGGACCUGCUGUUUUGGACUCUACCGCACCUGCUGUCUCUAACUCUGAAUGAUCGGCGAAGCAAAGCCAACUGACAUUUAUUCCUGAGGUGCUGACCUGUUGCACCCUCUACAACCACUGUGAUUAUUAUUAUUUGACCCUGCUGGUCAUCUAUGAACAUUUUGGCCAUGUACUGUUAUAAUCUCCACCUGGCAGAGCCAGAAGAGGACUGGCCACCCCUCAGAGCCUGGUUCCUCUCUAGGUUUUCUUCCCAGGUUCCUACCUUUCUAGGGAGAUUUUCCAAGCCACUGUGCUUCUACAUUUGCAUUGCUUGCUGUUUGGGGUUUUAGGCUGGGUUUCUGUAUAGCACUUUAUGACAUUGGCUGAUGUAAAAAGGGCUUUCUAAAUACAUUUGAUUGACUGAAAUUUGAUUGAUAUACCAGGCGGUGUCAGAGGAAGGUACUCAAAUUGUCAAAGACUUUAGCCAUCCAAGUCAUAGACUGUUCUCUCUGCUACCGCACAGCAAGCGGUACCAGAGUGCCAAGUCUGGGACCAAAAGGCUCCUUAACAGCUUCUACCCCCAAGCCAUAAGACUGCUGAACAGUUCAUCAAAUGGCUACCCAAACUAUUUACAUUGACCCCCUUUUUUUUGCACUGACUCUCUUGCACUGGCUCUAUGCACACUCACUAAAUUCUACCCACACAUUCACACAUGCUACGCUGACACUCCCAACACACACAUACACACACUACAUAUGCUCACAUACACAAAACACACACACACGUGCAUAUUGAUGCAACGCUCACACAUAGACACACGUGCUGCUGCUACUCUGUUUAUCUUCUAUCCUGAUUGUCUUUUAUUUUAACCCUACCUGUACACAUUGCCUAAAUUACCUCAACUACCUCGUACCCCUGCACAUGACUGGUACUCUUUGUAAAUAGCAUCGUUAUUGUUAUUUUACUGUGUUACUAUUUUCCUUUUUUUAUUUAGCUUUUUUUCCACUUUAACUCUGCAUUGUUGGCAAAGGGGUCCUAAGUAAGCAUCUCAUGGGAAAGUCUACACCAAUUGUAUUCAGUGCAUGUGACAAAUAAAAUGUGAUUUGAUUGGA